UACGAAGGGGGCUAGCGUUGCUCGGAAUUACUGGGCGUAAAGCGCACGUAGGCGGAUUGUUAAGUCGGGGGUGAAAUCCUGGAGCUCAACUCCAGAACUGCCUUCGAUACUGGCGAUCUCGAGUUCGGGAGAGGUGAGUGGAACUGCGAGUGUAGAGGUGAAAUUCGUAGAUAUUCGCAAGAACACCAGUGGCGAAGGCGGCUCACUGGCCCGAUACUGACGCUGAGGCGCGAAAGCGUGGGGAGCAAACAGG
rnacentral:rRNA from 1 species